UCCAGCACAACAACAACAAAUACAUAAGCAACAAAGUAAAAACUUCAAAACGGCAGGCAAAUAACCAACACACAUCCUUUCUAAUAAUCCGCAUACACACCACCCACCACUAGCUAACACAGCAAGCAACCGCCGCCAGCCGCCAGCCGCCAAUCGCCAACCGCCAACUAAAUUGUCGCCGUCACUGUCACCUCGCCGGCGAAUAGUACAACCACUGGAAAUACACAACAAGAAGGGCGGCCAUUUACGGUAACUAGGCAAGAAAGUCGACAAAGCUCGACAGCCUAUCAACUUUACCAAGCAACCAAACAACCAAACAACCAAACAACCGACCGGCCGACCGAGCCGCCGAGGGCACAACACAAUCAUUCAGCUCCAAACUCGGUGACGUACUCUUAUGAAAAUGAAUGCCAGUCUCAUUUACGAAAUCCUCAUGUAUUUAAAUUCAUUCUACUUUGGUAUGUACGCCACAUUUGAGAUUGGUGUCGGUGUCCUCAAGGCAAUCGGAUUGAAUUAUACUUCGAAUGAGCUAACGCACGAGGGGUGCAUAUUACUCGCAUUGUGCAUCGUCGAGACAAUACGAAUUGUAUUAGGUCGGAAGAGCAGUCUAAGCGAUCGUGGUUGGCAAGCAACAGCAUCCGUAAUAUUAACACUGCCCAGCCUUGCUCUCGUCAUCUACUUAUGUUGUUUUCAAACCUACGUUCUCAAACUCGAAAUUAUUCUGAGUGCCUUAAUGAUAGCCCUCCAAGGUGCUGAACUAGUGUAUGCCGGUGUCUUCAUUUGCACCAUGUUCGGUGAUGUUUCGUAUACCUAGCAGUCGAUAAUAAUUUAUGUACAACUGAUACACUUCAAUUCGAAUGAAUUUCACGUCUUUAUUUUCCCAAUGAAUCAGCAAAAAUGUUGAUGCCAAAGGUGCCAAUGAUCGUAAAAAUCACGCAAGCAAAUACCCUGGUACGGAAGUCAGUCAACACGACGAAAACGCAAGCGAAGAAGACGACGUACUCAUAUACCAACAAAACCGAUGAUAAUGAUAGCGAUAAGGAAAGCGGAACUCUAAGCAACCGAAAAAUGUGGAAAACUCAGUUGGAUUCUAGCGAGAUGAGACACUGAUAAAGAACAAAAAGCCAGCAUUUUAAUGUAACGGAUUUCAUUUAUAUGUACAAAUGCACCUAGUCGAAUGGGGAAAAGGUAGAGAAAAGAGCUAAAGUGUCAAGCGGAUCGCAAAAAGAGGGAAGAGAAAUAGGAAAACGGAAGGUGAGAAACCGACGAUAGCUCUGUACAUACAUACAUACAUAUGUACAUGUGUAUAGUAGUAUAUCGUGGUGUGUAUGUACAUAUGUAUGCAGCACAACAAAGGCAAACCCAAACCAUCUCAAUGUGCAAAGGUCAAAAAUUAGCAUACAUUGGCAGCUCCAAGUUGACGUAUGCAAAAUUCAAAAAUACAAUUAAUGUAAGUGCUGCUGACACAAAAGAUAGCUGCAACAC
rnacentral:misc_RNA from 1 species